rnacentral:sRNA from 2 species
AUGUACCACGCAUGCGUUCCGGCUCUGAGUGCGCUGUGUACACCCACCUGCCCACUGCUCACUACGUUCUGUUGGCA